rnacentral:rRNA from 1 species
CCUACGGGAGGCAGCAGUGGGGAAUAUUGCUCAAUGGGCGCAAGCCUGAUCCAGCCACGCCGCGUGAAGGAUGACUGCCUUCCGGGUUGUAACCUUCGUUUACAAAGGAAUAAAGUGAGGUACGUGUGCCUUAGUGUAUGUACUUUAUGAAUAAGGAUCGGCUACCUCCGUGCUAGCAGCCGCGGUAAUACGGAGGUUCCGAGUGUUAUCCGGAUUUAUUGGGUGUAAAGGGUGCGUAGAUGGGUUGUGAAGUCAGUUGUGAAAGGUUGCGGCUCAACCGUAAAAGUGCAAUUGAUACUGGCAGCCUUGAGUACAGUUGAGGUAGGCGGAAUUCGUGGUGUAGCGGUGAAAUGCUUAGAUAUCACGAAGAACACCGAUUGCGAAGGCAGCCUACUAAACUGCCACUGACAUUGAUGCUCGAAAGUGUGGGUAUCAAACAGGAUUAGAUACCCUAGUAGUC